GGACAACUUCAUCAAGACAGAGCUGCUUCUUUCAUGCACCCAAAUCUAUCUGGCCAUUUUUCACUGCAUGUGGUUCCCUGCAAGCCUUCAUCUAAGGCAGGAAAAUAAAAUGGCAAAAAUUAAACUUUGGAGUUGAUUCCAGAGAGGAGAACACAAGUGCCCAGUAAGUCUUUAACAUGACAUAUCAUGCACAGUGCCAUGUCACCUUUACACAUUUUCCUUCCUGUCCAAGACCUUUAGGAUACAACCCUGAAUAAUCACAGACUCCUGUUCAGUCAGAAAAUGUAACCCAGUUGUAACCUGUGAUGUAAAGUUCUUUGGCUUAAUAAAUAUCUCCUAUUAGUCAUACGGUCAGAGAAAAUACCCUUUUUAAAAAUGUUAAUCUUACUGACAGCAUUUGAUAUUCAGCCAUGAAACAGGCCUGAGUCACCUGUCAGAUUUCUCUCAAAUCAAGGGAAGCAGAAUUCAUUAAAGUGUUCUUACCACAUCCCUAUCAAAUCCAGAGAUCUCAUACACACAUUUUCCCAACCUUUUCUGCUGUUAUUAGCAGUAGACAUUGUUCUCAGAGCACCUUCAUCUCUUUCUACUGAUCAGCCAAAGGCCUGCCAUGUUUACGCACUAACAGUCCCUUCUCCUGCAGGUCCUCCCAGCUAUCCUUUUUUAAUUGAUGAUAAUGUCUCAAUUUUGCACCAACUUUUUCACCUUUAUUAUUUCAAAACCAGCAAUUCCCAUCCUGCCGUGUAAAAUUUGGAUGGUGUCUGAGCUGUUACUCUCUUCAUGUUCAGGAUUUCACAGUCAGGUUACAAGACCUACUAUUAGCUUCUUACUGCUCUGAUCACAAGAAUUGUUAUUAUUGAAAUAGUUCUUUCCCUUUUCACACAAAAUAUGAAUCCCAUGGCCUUGUGCAACACAGCUGCUCAACUGUAUCUCAGUCCAAGGAUGAAUUUCAAUUCAUUCAUUUUUGACUGAGACACAGGUCUCAAUUUUGUUUCCCUUUCCCUGUCUUUAUCAUAGUCCUUUUUGAAUUAUCUCAAAAUCCUCCAUAUCUUAAACCUCAAAAAUCUUCAAGUUUAUCUGACCCAAUCCCAAAGUAAGCAGGAUUUUGUUAACUUUACAUUCCAAGCCUACAAGCAUUCUUAUGCUUAAUUGUAUCAGUGCAGGAACUUAUAGGUUCAGGUAAUCAGUAAGGUGAUUGAUAAUCUAUUGAUUCUAGUUAACAGUAGGAACAAAUUGACUGUGACAUCACAGUCACAGGUUUGGUAGCCUGGCUACCAAAUCUAUCUUCUAGGACACUGAUUUGUUUACCCAUUACUAAUGUGCCUGCUGCUCACAUAAUAAUGCAGAGAGUUCUAGAAUUCAAACUAUUCCUGCAGCAGACUAUGCAAAUUUUAUGACAUCUGAGGAAGAUAAGCAGGCCAAGGUCCUGAUUCUGAUUCUGAAGGAGCACAGGACAAGGUUUGUCUCUCCAUAAGCUGUGCAGCAGCUGAGCAGCACAGGGACAGCGAGGCCUGUCCCCAGUGACAGCACCAACUGAUUUCAUUUGGAGGUACAAGGAAGGUUUGGCCUGCGUGUUCAGCAGGUGAGCCAGCUGUUCCUUUGGCACCUGAGAGCUGUCACACCCAUUUCCCUCAGGAUGAUUUUAAGGCAGCUCUAAUGUAGAUUAAAGCAAUAACAUGAAGUCAAGGCAAGCCCUUAUCUCACGGAAGGCAGAGAGUGUGAACACAGUGGUGCUUCAGCUCCUGCAGGAUAACCCACUGAAACACAUUCCCAUUCCAGAAAAGGCCAAAGGCCACCACAGUGAGGGAUGACAUCCUUUGGGGCUGAAAAUGGGCCCUUCAGUAAGGGAUAUUCUAUAAUUGAUGGACGUCAAUUUUGUGGCUGAUAGGGUACAAUGGUGGAUUUACCAUUCCACAAAUGCCAGCCUCUUUAACAACAGCUGCACAAUGACCUACUUUAAAAAAAGACACGUGAAGAUUCCAUUUUGGAAGACAGCUGCCUAGAAAUUAAUAUUUCCAAAUUAAUGUGGAGAGCCUAAAUACUACUGCCUCAGGCCCUUGUGCCAGAAAGGUUAAGUACCACAUUUAAUAGAUAAUCUCUAUGAUUAAUUUAUCAGAAAGGACCAAGUGGCUAAUUUACCCUAAUUGAAAUUUUCUGGCAUGAUAAAAAAUUUUCAUAUAUAAUUCCACUUCCAUUUAAAUCCAUUGUACUAACUUAUUACACAAAAGCAAACAAAACUACAGUCUUGAAUCCUGCUUUCUUCUUCCGGUAAUGGAACAAAAUACUUCCAUGGCCACAUAGAAAAUAGUAGAAUGGAUUUUCCUGAGGAUGGACGAUAAAAAAGGGAUCAAACAUUCAAAUCCUAUUUCGAAUCCAGUUCCUGGUUUCGAAGACAAAAAUGGGCCCAGAUUUACAGAGGGCUUCACAGUCAUCAGCUUUUGUUUUUAGCUCUGGGACAAACCUGGCUGUAUCUCACUGUGGGGAAUUGGGUGGAGUAGGGCUCACUGAGAGCACUUCAGAGGGAUUGGAGCAGCUGUGGGGCAAAAGCACAGCCGGAGGUCAGGGGACUGUGUCACUGCACUAGCCCAGAAAUACCUGAGCUGCUGGUCUAUGCCUACAUCUGUAAGUAUUUCUGAUAACAUGUGUCCUGCAUUUUCAAGGCUGGGAUGUUUUGCAAGGAGAGGUAAUCUUUGUUCCCAGACUGUGAUGUUCGGAUACACACUCCUCUUCAAAUGUGGCACAGAGAGAGCAAACUUUAUGCUAAGCACAGGCAGGAAGAAACUGCUCUGAAUUUAACUUUGCUUGGUAAAUAAGUUCGACAACAUGAGGGGGAAAAGAAAUGGAUACCUGGCACAUGCAACAGUGGAGGAAACUUGCAAGGGGAAGAGUAAUGCUGGUCUUAUACAGAACAGAGAACAGCAGUUACCCAUUUCCUUUGGGCCACGAGGUGAUUUGUGUGUGGAAAAUGUCACAUACUGUAAGAUCAAUGUCUCCAUUAUAUCCAUGUUGUCAUUUUUGUGCCUGGGCUUGUCUUUGCAGAAUACUUUUUAAGGCUUUUUUGGUGGUCAGGAGAGCAAUCACAGGUGGUGCUUACUUUGGUUAAGGCUCCCACUGCUAAUUCUGUCUGUGUUGUAUUGCUUGUCUAUCGGAAUUAAUAUCUGUAUGGAAUAAUUGUUUGGUUCUAGUAACCGUGUGGUUCAUAGAGUCCUCAUAAUGACUUUUGAUUCAUUAGAUAAAAAAAUAUUUUGGCAUGUCCAGGUUUAGGAGACAUGGAUAUUGGUGGACCUUGGGCAGAGUUCAGCACUCCAGGACUUUGAAUUCACUGUACAGAUCCUUGCCACUCCUGACACUUGUGGCAGAGCAGUUCCGUGUGGCAGUGCUGAGAAACUGAACCUCUGCACGGUUCUCUGGUUUUACAGGUUUGAAAACUCACGCAGAGAAGUUCUGCAGAUUAUUCUCUACUUUCCCCCUCGGAGGGAUGGGGGAUUAUAAAAUAUUCCUGUUACAGACCUGCCGGGUGUCCGCAGGCUUUGCCCUGGGAAGCAGCUCCCGGUGUGGAGCAGGGUGAGAACAGUGCGAGCAGGGCUGGAGCCGCGGGC